rnacentral:lncRNA from 1 species
AGAUGUUGGGUAUCCCCCAUGCCCCCGCCAAAAGCACUCCAGAUGACAAAAAUCCACUACAAAGCUCUUCUUUAAAAAGAAAGAUUCUGAGAAGUUCCAUCAAAAGAAGAAAAGAAGAAAUGAAGAGGGACCUACAUUUUGGAGCAAGAUGUAAAGAAAUCUGGAAGUGCAACUGCAGUUGCUGUCUAUCUCAAGUCAUUGUCUCCCAUCUUUGCUGCGGGAGGGCACUGAAGGGACAGUGUCUUGAUGUCAUAGUUAGAUCUUGGACUUUGAAGGCAAACUAGUGGGUUUGACUCUUGGCCACAUGGUUAAUCACCUGUGACCUUGGGCAAGUCACCAGAAUCCUCUCUGUGUCAGUUUCCUCAUCUGCAAAAUGGAAUAAUGCCUUAAACAAGGAGGACCUUGUUUCUAUCUAUGAAGCAUGGAGAACAGUGCCUGGAAGAUAGGAUGGUGCCUUGAGUGAAUGACCCCCUUGGAGAACAUUCUUCCGCAUCCCUCGCCUCAAGCCAGCCUCAGACAGAAAACUGAAGAUUCAGCAGAUCCAGUGCUUCCUGCUCCUCUUCUG